UCAAUAAGCGGAGGAAAAGAAACCAACAGGGAUUGCCUCAGUAACGGCGAGUGAAGCGGCAACAGCUCAAAUUUGAAAUCUGGCUCCUCCGGGGUCCGAGUUGUAAUUUGGAGAGGAUGUUUUUGGGUGUCCGCCGGCCUAAGUCCCUUGGAACAGGGCGUCAUAGAGGGUGAGAAUCCCGUAUGUGGCCGGAAAGGUACCCUCCGUAAAACUCCUUCGACGAGUCGGGUUGUUUGGGAAUGCAGCCCUAAAUGGGAGGUAAAUUUCUUCUAAAGCUAAAUACCGGCCAGAGACCGAUAGCGCACAAGUAGAGUGAUCGAAAGAUGAAAAGCACUUUGGAAAGAGAGUUAAACAGCACGUGAAAUUGUUGAAAGGGAAGCGCUUGCGAUCAGUCUCGACGGCGGCCGUUCGGCCUCUCUUCUGAGUGGUUUACUCGGUCGCCGCCGGGCCAGCAUCAGUUUCGGCGGUUGGAUAAAGGUUGUGGGAAUGUGGCCCUCUCGGGGGUGUUAUAGCCCACUUCGUAAUACAGCCAGCCGGGACUGAGGUCCGCGCUUCGGCUAGGAUGCUGGCAAAAUGGUCGUAAGCGGCCCGUCUUGAAACACGGACCAAGGAGUCUAACAUCUACGCGAGUGUUCGGGUGUCAAACCCGUGCGCGCAAUGAAAGUGAACGGAGGUGGGAUCCCGCAAGGGCGCACCAUCGACCGAUCCUGAUGUCUUCGGAUGGAUUUGAGUAAGAGCGUAGCUGUUGGGACCCGAAAGAUGGUGAACUAUGCCUGAAUAGGGUGAAGCCAGAGGAAACUCUGGGUGAGGCUCGCAGCGGUUCUGACGUGCAAAUCGAUCGUCAAAUUUGGGUAUAGGGGC
rnacentral:rRNA from 1 species